rnacentral:rRNA from 1 species
AUUGAACGCUGGCGGCAGGCCUAACACAUGCAAGUCGAGCGCGAGGCGGAGGGGUGCGUAAAGUCUGGGAAAAUGACUGCUAGAGGGGGGUAAAUACUGGAAACGGUAGCUAAUACCGCAUACACUAAGAUGUGCCCAGAUGGGAUUAGCUAGUAGGUGGGUUAACGGCUAACCUAGGCGACGAUCCCUAUCUGGUCUGGUAGGAUGACCAGCCACACUGGAACUGAGACACGGUCCAGACUCCUACGGGAGGCAGCAGUGGGGACUCUUGCACAAUGGGCGCAAGCCUGAUUGAGCCAUGCCGCGUGUGUGAAGAAGGCCUUCGGUUUGUAAAGUACUUUCGGCGGUGAAGCGUUACCCGCACAAGAAGUCCCGGCUAACUCCGUGCCAGCAGCCGCGGUAAUUC